GCUUGCGGCCACACCGCCCUGAAUGCGCCCGAUCAUCGUCCGAUCUCGGAAGCCAAGCAGUGUCGGGCCUGGUUAGUACUGUGAUGGGUUACCGCCUGGGAAUUCCGGGUGCUGUAAGCU